GAGGAGAAGCUGAGGAGCACGCCGCGUGAGUGAUGAAGGCUUUCGGGUCGUAAAAGCUCUGUUGUUAGGGAAGAACAAGUGCUAGUUGAAUAGGCUGGCACCUUGCCGGUACCUAACCAGAAAGCCACGGCUAAUUACUGGCCACCACCCGCGGAAAUCGGA
rnacentral:rRNA from 1 species